rfam:Candidatus Stoquefichus sp. KLE1796 genomic scaffold Scaffold360, whole genome shotgun sequence.
AAAAAGGCUGUGAAUAGACAAGUAAUUGUUAUGAUGUAUGACUAGAGAGUCCUGAUGGUGGAAAUGGAUGAUAAUAUUAACAAUGAAUAAAGACUAGGAGCUGUAUUUUGGAUCAAAGGUGAUAAAAUAACGUGUGCCGCGUUACAGGCUAGACUCUGAUAGGAGUUGAAAAGAUUACUAUAGUGAUAUAGUAAUGAAUUAGGGUGGUAACACGAUAUCUCUCGUCCCUUGU